rfam:Myotis davidii contig191763, whole genome shotgun sequence.
GGCUGUUCUCAGGUGAUGCACCCCAGAAUCAGGCUCCCUCCUCUCUGGUUCUGGGUGUGUCACCUGAGAACCACA